rnacentral:ncRNA from 2 species
GUCUAUCUUCGGGGCAGGGUGAAAUUCCCGACCGACGGUGAUGAGUUUGUACUCAAAGUCCGUGACCCUACUACGGUAGGUUGAUUUGGUGAAAUUCCAAAACCGACAGUAAAGUCUGGAUGGGAGAAGAUGGAG